rnacentral:lncRNA from 1 species
CAUCUUAAGGAAGAAGGCUGAUGACUAAUUUUGAGACAAUGAAUAGGCUACCUUGAGGCAAUACUUAAUAUUAGAAGAUUAGAGUUUUAGGAAGAUGAGCAUGAGAUAUAUAAGAGACAACCGGUCAUCUUAAGGAAGAAGGUUGAUGGCUAAUUUUUAGAUAAUGAAUAGGAUACCUUGAGGCAAUACCUAAUAUUAAAAGAUGGUGGCAACAUAGAAUAAGCAGAAGACAUGGUGUAAAAUGCGGUAGGUUUGGGAGGGAGAGAGAAUUAAUUAUUGAGUGUAAUCUUAGAAAAAUAGAAUAGUUAUUUGGUUGGGAAAAAAGUAUCAUGCUCUUUAAUUAAAUUCUUUAAAUCACAAUUGUUAAUUAAAUUUAA